rnacentral:rRNA from 1 species
CCAGACUCCUACGGGAGGCAGCAGUGGGGGAUAUUGCACAAUGGGGGGAACCCUGAUGCAGCAACGCCGCGUGAGUGAAGAAGUAUUUCGGUAUGUAAAGCUCUAUCAGCAGGGAAGAAAAUGACGGUACCUGACCAAGAAGCCCCGGCUAACUACGUGCCAGCAGCCGCGGUAAUACGUAGGGGGCAAGCGUUAUCCGGAUUUACUGGGUGUAAAGGGAGCGCAGACGGCAGCGCAAGUCUGGAGUGAAAUGCCGGGGCCCAACCCCGGGACUGCUCUGGGAACUGUGCGGCUGGAGUGCGGGAGGGGCAGGCGGAAUUCCUGGUGUAGCGGUGAAAUGCGUAGAUAUCAGGAGGAACACCGGCGGCGAAGGCGGCCUGCUGGACCGCGACUGACGUUGAGGCUCGAAAGCGUGGGGAGCAAACAGGAUUAGAUACCCGCGUACAC